rnacentral:rRNA from 1 species
ACACUCCUACGGGAGGCAGCAGUGGGGAAUUUUGGACAAUGGGCGAAAGCCUGAUCCAGCAAUGCCGCGUGAGUGAAGAAGGCCUUCGGGUUGUAAAGCUCUUUUGUCAGGGAAGAAACGGUGAGAGCUAAUAUCUUUUGCUAAUGACGGUACCUGAAGAAUAAGCACCGGCUAACUACGUGCCAGCAGCCGCGGUAAUACGUAGGGUGCAAGCGUUAAUCGGAAUUACUGGGCGUAAAGCGUGCGCAGGCGGUUUUGUAAGUCUGAUGUGAAAUCCCCGGGCUCAACCUGGGAAUUGCAUUGGAGACUGCAAGGCUAGAAUCUGGCAGAGGGGGGUAGAAUUCCACGUGUAGCAGUGAAAUGCGUAGAUAUGUGGAGGAACACCGAUGGCGAAGGCAGCCCCCUGGGUCAAGAUUGACGCUCAUGCACGAAAGCGUGGGGAGCAAACAGGAUUAGAUAUCCGUGUAGUCCCAUGAU